rnacentral:rRNA from 1 species
CCUACGGGGGGCUGCAGUGGGGAAUAUUGGGCAAUGGGCGCAAGCCUGACCCAGCAACGCCGCGUGAAGGAAGAAGGCUUUCGGGUUGUAAACUUCUUUUGUCAGGGAAGAGUAGAAGACGGUACCUGACGAAUAAGCCACGGCUAACUACGUGCCAGCAGCCGCGGUAAUACGUAGGUGGCCAGCGUUGUCCGGAUUUACUGGGUGUAAAGGGCGUGUAGCCGGGUUGACAAGUCAGAUGUGAAAUCCUGCGGCUUAACCGCAGAACUGCAUUUGAAACUGUUGAUCUUGAGUCCUGGAGAGGCAGACGGAAUUACUAGUGUAGCGGUGAAUUGCGUAGAUAUUAGGAGGAACACAAGGGGCGAAGGCGGUCUGCUGGACAGCAACUGACGGUGAGGCGCGAAAGCGUGGGGAGCAAACAGGAUUAGAGACCCGAGUAGUC